GACGAACGCUGGCGGCGUGCUUAACACAUGCAAGUCGAACGGAAAGGCCCGGCUUUUGUGGGGUGCUCGAGUUGCGAACGGGUGAGUAACACGUGAGUAACCUGCCCUUGACUUUGGGAUAACUUCAGGAAACUGGGGCUAAUACCGGAUAGGAGCUCCUGCUGCAGGGUGGGGGUGGGAAAGUUUCGGCGGUUGGGGAUGGACUCGCGGCUUAUCAGAUUGUUGGUGGGGUAGUGGCUUACCAAGGCUUUGACGGGUAGCCGGCCUGAGAGGGUGACCGGCCACAUUGGGACUGAGAUACGGCACAGACUCCUCCGGGAGGCAGCAGUGGGGUAUAUUGCACAAUGGGCGGAAGCCUGAUGCAGCCACGCCGCGUGCGGGAUGACGGCCUUCGGGUUGUAAACCGCUUUCGCCUGUGACGAAGCGUGAGUGACGGUAAUGGGUAAAGAAGCACCGGCUAACUACGUG
rnacentral:rRNA from 1 species